AAUAAUAAUCCACUAACAUGCGCUUUACAUAAUAAGGUUAUGUUAUUCUCAUGUUAAGAGGAAAGGUAAUAAUGUUCUGCCACAAAGCUUUUUUGUCAUCCUUGCUGAUUUAGCUGGAUUUUCAUAAUAUAAAUUCAUGGCCUUCCUUGAUGAGGGAGCAAGGUAGAUAAAGGCAAUUGUAUUUUAUGCAUUGUGAUUGUUUGAUUAAUUAAAAGUUAAACUUUCUUUUAUCUCCAACUCUCUUUCUCUUUGGUGGCUAAAGAAAUUGUGAGGAACAAGAUGAAGAUCACAAGUUAACUUUGGAUUUUUUCUGAAAAUUGUAAACUUAGCUUAAGCAAAGUAAGUAUAUUUUAGUUAAAAACUUAUAAGCAUUAUAGUUGUGAUGUUGAAAAUUUGUUUUGUAGUGGGUUGUUGUGUUACAAUACCGGACUUGGUGUUUAAGAAGAAGUUCGGUAUUGUAAAAGGACUUGGCAUGAGACCUUCCUCUUCUCUAAUAACCACCGCCUCCUCUAAUUCAUCGGUGGAAUAUAUCCAACGGUUAGAAAAUGAGAUAAUUGAGCUCAAAGGGGCAAGAGUUAGAGAUCAAGAGGAGCGAGCUAAGGACCAAGAUGCACGAACUAAGCAAGAUGAGGUCCAAAAGAAUAUUCUUAACUUUUUGAGGAGCAAGGGUUAUGAUGAUGCUCUUACUUAUGGGGUUGGUUCAACUUCAAGUUAAAACACUUUUUGAUUUCUUAUUGGUGGCUUUUAGGGGAUUUACUUUUGGCAUUACUUGAAGACAUAUGAGAACAUCUUCCGUUAGUUCUAAAAUAGGGUUUAGGUAGAGUUAUUGUAUGUAUUGCAAACAAUUAUUGUAUGGAAGGAGUUUGAAUUAGAUACUUGUUUUAUUUUUUA